UUCUUCACUGUGUAGUUAUUUUCUUGAAGCUCCACUUUCCUACAGUACUCCUUGAAAGAGAUUGGGACACAAUUAUGGGGUAGAAAAUUAUGGUCCACAUAUUUAAGGGUGGCGUAUAUUUCCACAUAAACAUAAUUAUGAGAUCUAAUGUACAACAAUGUGGCCAUAGUUAACAACACUGCAUUUCAUAUUUGAAAUAAUCAAACGUGCAACCUACAGAUAUAUGGAAAGCAGAAUUUGUAAGCAAUAAAUUUGGAUAUUUACUGGAGGAAAUUUUCAAGCAAGUGCUGAAGAUGCAGCUCAUUUUUUUCUUGGUACUUACAGUAAAGUGACAGAGGAAAGAGGUAAUCCAUAAUGGAGUAAUCCCAGGAGGUAAUCAAGAACUGACUAUAAGUUGAAAAUACAUUGGUUACGUGGCAACGCACUUGAAGAAAAAUCUUUAAAGUGGAAAAAACAAGUACCCAAUUAAGUGGGAGGGUAAGCAAGCACCUGGUCCUAAAAUGCACUCAAUUAAAUUGAAUAAUGACAGUA